rnacentral:lncRNA from 1 species
UGACCCCUGAGAAACGCCAGAUGGCACAGAAAAGCUGCUAGAUAAGAAGUUAUUAAGCCGUAUACAUUGCGAUCUAUCCAGUAGAUAGUCCCUUAGCCAACAAAUAACAUUUGAUCCAAAACCCAAAGCUUGGAGCUUUGCCAGUAGAAGCGCAUGAUUAACUCUGUCGAACGCCUUCAAAAUCCGUAUAAACAGCAUCAACUUGUGAACCCUUACUAAAAGCAUUAAACAGAUAAUCUUCAUAACAUAUUAAGUUAGUAACAGUGGAACGACCUUUUUGAAAACCAUGUUGAUUGUUAAUAAUAAGGCUUUUACAUUGCCAUGAAAAUUGCUUGGUUACAAGUGCAUCCAAAAGUUUAGGCAAAGUUGACUAUAUACAACUCCCCGAUAAUUACUGACAUCACUAGUAUUACCAGACGUAAUAUAUGAAUUCUUCCAAGAAGGAGGAAAUCCUCCCGACUUUAAAGACAGAUUGAAUAAAGUGCAAAUGGGCUUCGACUGAGUACAUACUCAUUCACGAAGUAGCAAGCUGGGUAUGUCAUCCGGUCCCGCAGAAGUCUUGCUCUGUAAGCCAAGAAUUUCGUCAAAAACCUCUACUAAAGAUAACUCUACAAACUUGAUAUCGAAUUGAUCCACAAGGUCUGUCAUAUAAUAUUCGUGUAUUUGAAAUGCUUUAUCAGAAUUUACGUUUGACAAAUAUUUGGCAAAUAAAUUAACAGUAUUACCACCCUUAUCACUAGUUUCACCAUUAAAAAACAUAUGUUUAGGAAUAAUAUUUGACUUUUUAAUAUUGCUUACAUGUUUCCAGAAUAACCUAGGAUUUAACAAUAUAUUAUUCUCGGUACAAAAAAUAUAAUCGCAGUAACACUGACCGCUCAACACACUGCAUGAUUGCCAAAGCCCACAAAAAACCAAGUAAUCACUUGGCAAUUGGGAUCCCUUAAACUUCUUAUGAGCAAUCCUCUUACGUAAAACUAAGCUUCUUAACUCUCUUGAAAACCAUACAGGAAAGCUACUAGUAUUAUAGGACUUAGGCACAAAAUAGCUGAUUCCUUCAUACAAAAGGUCAUAAAACUUAUUUAGAGAAACAUUUAUAUCCGAAGCGUUGUUUAUAAAGGACCAGUCGAUAGAUAGAACUUGAUUUAUAUGGUACUGAAAAGACACAUUCAUACGGAGUAUAUCAAGAGACAGUCACCGGCAAUAAAAACUCAUCCGCUAAUCCAGAAGACCCAUUAAUAUUAGAAAAAUAAAGAUCAAGAGAUGUGCCUUUCGGAUUUGGUAGCUGAAACAUUUCUUUACCAUCUAUGUAAUUAAAUACCUGUCCAAGCAGUGAAGCUGGUAGGACAUUCGAACACCCAUCCGAAAAGGAAACCGAAAAUAAGGAAACAUAUCAAUCGUACAAUCUCUUUUCCGGCAACACGCAAGUUUUGGGUGAUUUAUCGCAGUAGAGCCGUUUCCUGAUUUUUGCAUGUUUAUAAUAUCUUAAGGAAUAGAUUUAGCAACAGUUUAGACCCACCACUUGUUCUAGUUUGCGUCUUGUACCGCCAAGACUGUUAAGGACUCGGAGAAAGAAAAAACCUAGAAAUCAUUUAAUUUAGUCGAUCUCGACGAAAAGUGUAAAGGAAGCGGUAGCGUGAUUGAAGUCUUAAACAUGGUCAUGAACUAAAUCCUAAUCAUUAAUAAUGUUUUAGAAUUGUUAAUGCACGAGAUUUAUUCAAAUAGAUACUCUUUUUUAAGUGUAAUCUUCUUGGAAAGGUUAUUAAAGUAUAUUGAUGGUUCUGAAACAUUUACACGUUUUUCAUUCGA